UGAUCCGGUGGUUCUGAAUGGAAGGGCCAUCGCUCAACGGAUAAAAGGUACUCCGGGGAUAACAGGCUGAUACCGCCCAAGAGUUCAUAUCGACGGCGGUGUUUGGCACCUCGAUGUCGGCUCAUCACAUCCUGGGGCUGAAGUAGGUCCCAAGGGUAUGGCUGUUCGCCAUUUAAAGUGGUACGCGAGCUGGGUUUAGAACGUCGUGAGACAGUUCGGUCCCUAUCUGCCGUGGGCGCUGGAGAAUUGAGGGGGGCUGCUCCUAGUACGAGAGGACCGGAGUGGACGCAUCACUGGUGUUCGGGUUGUCAUGCCAAUGGCACUGCCCGGUAGCUAAAUGCGGAAGAGAUAAGUGCUGAAAGCAUCUAAGCACGAAACUUGCCCCGAGAUGAGUUCUCCCUGACUCCUUGAGAGUCCUGAAGGAACGUUGAAGACGACGACGUUGAUAGGCCGGGUGUGUAAGCGCAGCGAUGCGUUGAGCUAACCGGUACUAAUGAACCGUGAGGCUUAACCUUACAACGCCGAAGCUGUUUGG
rnacentral:rRNA from 1 species